rnacentral:rRNA from 1 species
UGCGUAGGCGGUCCCGCAAGUCCGCUGUGAAAGCCCCGGGCUUAACCUGGGAAUGGCAGUGGAAACUAGGGGACUUGAAUCCGGCAGAGGGGGGUGGAAUGCCACGUGUAGCAGUGAAAUGCGUAGAGAUGUGGCGGAACACCGAUGGCGAAGGCAGCCCCCUGGGUUGAGAUUGACGCUCAGGCACGAAAGCGUGGGGAGCAAACAGGAUUAGAUACCCUGGUAGUCCACGCCCUAAACGAUGAUCACUAGGUGUUGGGGAAGCGAUUUCUCAGUACCGCAGCUAACGCGUGAAGUGAUCCGCCUGGGGAGUACGGUCGCAAGAUUAAA